rnacentral:rRNA from 1 species
GAAAGGGGNNUUAACCCUCCAUAGUAAUAUUGAAUGGCAUCAUUUGAUAUUUAAAGCUCCGGUGGCUAUGGAUGGGCAUGCGUCUGAUUAGUUAGUUGGCGGGGUAACGGCCCACCAAGACGAUGAUCAGUAGGGGAACUGAGAGGUUGAUCCCCCACACUGGCACUGAGAUACGGGCCAGACACCUACGGGAGGCAGCAGUAGGGAAUAUUGGUCAAUGGAUGGAAGUCUGAGCCAGCCAUGCCGCGUGCAGGAAGAAGGCCUUAUGGGUUGUAAACUGCUUUUGCCAGGGGAUAAAAUAGCUGUGCGCAGCGAAUUGCAGGUACCUGGUGAAUAAGCCACGGCUAACUACGUGCCAGCAGCCGCGGUAAUACGUAGGUGGCAAGCGUUGUCCGGAUUUAUUGGGUUUAAAGGGUGCGUAGGCGGCCCUGUAAGUCAGUGGUGAAAUACUCCAGCUUAACUGGAGGGGUGCCAUUGAUACUGCAGGGCUUGAGUGGAGUAGAAGUAGGCGGAAUUGACGGUGUAGCGGUGAAAUGCUUAGAUAUCGUCAAGAACACCGAUAGUGAAGACAGCUUACUAUGCUUCAACUGACGCUGAGGCACGAAAGUGUGGGGAUCAAACAGGAUUAGAUACCCUGGUAGUCCACACUGUAAACGUUGAUGACUCGCUGUUGGCGAUACACUGCCAGCGGCCAAGCGCAAGCGAUAAGUCAUCCACCUGGGG